UACAGAGGUCCCGAGCGUUGUUCGGAUUCACUGGGCGUAAAGGGUGCGCAGGUGGGUUGGCAAGUUUGAUGUGAAAGCCCCGGGCUCAACCUGGGAAUGGCAUUGGAAACUGGCGAGCUAGAGUGUGGCAGAGGGGGGUGGAAUUCCGCGUGUAGCAGUGAAAUGCGUAGGAGAUGCGGCGGAACACCGAUGGCGAAGGCAGCCCCCUGGGCUGAGAUUGACGCUCAGGCACGAAAGCGUGGGGAGCAAACAGG
rnacentral:rRNA from 1 species